rnacentral:rRNA from 1 species
AGCCUGAUGCAGCGACGCCGCGUGAGGGAUGACGGCCUUCGGGUUGUAAACCUCUUUCGACAGGGACGAAGCGUAAGUGACGGUACCUGUAGAAGAAGCACCGGCUAACUACGUGCCAGCAGCCGCGGUAAUACGUAGGGUGCGAGCGUUGUCCGGAAUUACUGGGCGUAAAGAGCUUGUAGGCGGUCUGUCGCGUCGAUUGUGAAAACUCACGGCUCAACCGUGGGCUUGCAGUCGAUACGGGCAGACUAGAGUACUGCAGGGGAGACUGGAAUUCCUGGUGUAGCGGUGAAAUGCGCAGAUAUCAGGAGGAACACCGGUGGCGAAGGCGGGUCUCUGGGCAGUAACUGACGCUGAG